GUUGACGCCGCGUCGGGCGGCCGUGUAUUGACAAGUUUGUCCCGGUAGAUCGCUCGCGACUCCCCGCUCGGCUACGUCGACCGUGUCGUGUCGUUUCGUGCCGUGCCGUGCCGUAUCCUCCUCCAGAUUCCGUUGGACUGAUUCUGAUUCGCGGCCCGCGCCGAAUACGCAUGCGUCACAGCGGAAAUGAACAGAGGCGCAGAGAGACCGCGUUACGUCACGGCUGCCGCUCGGUAAUGGUGCAUUUACACUGCGCUCUCGUUGCACCGACGUACACGACCCGUCGGCCGUGCAACAGCGGCAGAAAUUGUCUUCAGUUGACGAGAGUUGUCACGAGGAGGCGAUUUUUUCUAAUUAAUGUUGGAUUAUCACAUGGACACGAGACUAUGGUCCGAAUCGUGCCCAAUGGUUUGUCCGCACUUGCACUUUUUGCACUUUGUGCCCUGCUGUGUACUUUGUUUUCCCUCUGCUGUUAGCCGAGCCAGAGGAAGAGACAGGAAAAUUCAAACCCAAGUUCUGCAAAAAUGAACAAACCUAUGUAACGAUUCUAGUACCAUCGAAUAAAAACUAUCGUCUAGGGAAUAAUCAAGGUCAGGGAUCAAUCUUCUCUAGUUAUGCAAUGAUAAACAAGUAGAACAAGCAAUAGAAGAUGAAGCCGCCUGCAUACAAUUGAAAGGCCUUAUAUAGCUUGGGCGAUGUAUACAUUCCAGCAGUCCAGCAGAGUAGUUCGUCAAUGGUAUUAGUCCAACAGAAUACUCAAAUCAAACAUAAUUCACAACUUCAGUUAUUUAUUGUUAAGUUAGAGAUAUGGAAUAUACGCAAAAUAUGAUUAAAAUUAAUAUU